AACGAACGCUGGCGGCAGGCUUAACACAUGCAAGUCGAACGCAUCGCAAGAUGAGUGGCAGACGGGUGAGUAACGCGUGGGAAUCUACCCAUCUCUGCGGAAUAGCCCUGGGAAACUGGAAUUAAUACAGCAUACGCCCUACGGGGGAAAGAUUUAUCGGGGAUGGAUGAGCCAGCGUUGGAUUAGCUAGUUGGUGGGGUAAAGGCCUACCAAGGCGACGAUCCAUAGGUGGUCUGAGAGGAUGAUCAGCCACAUUGGGACUGAGACACGGCCCAAACUCCUACGGGAGGCAGCAGUGGGGAAUAUUGGACAAUGGGCGCAAGCCUGAUCCAGCCAUGCCGCGUGAGUGAUGAAGGCCUUAGGGUUGUAAAGCUCUUUCACCGAUGAAGAUAAUGACGGUAGUCGGAGAAGAAGCCCCGGCUAACUUCGUGCCAGCCGCCGCAGUAA
rnacentral:rRNA from 1 species